UUAUGGCUCAGGAUGAACGCUAGCGACAGGCCUAACACAUGCUAGUCGAGGGCAGCGCGGAGUAGCAAUACUUGGCGGCGACCGGCGCACGGGUGAGUAACACGUAUGCAACCAACCCAUAACAGGGGGAUAACCCGGAGAAAUCCGGACUAAUACCGCAUAAGACCACGAUAUCGCAUGAUAUAGAGGUCAAAUAUUUAUAGGUUAUGGACGGCAUGCGUCUGAUUAGCUGGUUGGCGGGGUAACGCCCACCAAGGCAUCGAUCAGUAGGGGUUCUGAGAGGAAGGUCCCCCACAUUGGAACUGAGACACGGUCCAAACUCCUACGGGAGGCAGCAGUGAGGAAUAUUGGUCAAUGGGCGAAAGCCUGAACCAGCCAUGUCGCGUGAAGGAAUGAAGGUCCUAUGGAUUGUAAACUUCUUUUGCAGGAGGGUAAAGUGAGCUACGUGUAGUUCAUUGCAAGUACCCUGCGAAUAAGCAUCGGCUAACUCCGUGCCAGCAGCCGC
rnacentral:rRNA from 1 species